rnacentral:pre_miRNA from 1 species
ACAACAUUGGGACCGUCGGUCUACAGAGCAAUAUCACCCGCUCGGUGGAAGAUCUUCCCUUUGUCGA